ACUCUUGUUUGGUUCACAAGCAUGAUGAUUUAGUAUUCACACCACUGUUUAACAUGUGCUUCCCCACAAACCUUAAGACAUUGGUACAUUAUGGCUCUGACA